rnacentral:rRNA from 1 species
AUUGAACGCUGGCGGCAGGCCUAACACAUGCAAGUCGAACGAGUGGCGGACGGGUGAGUAAUGUCUGGGAAACUGCCUGAUGGAGGGGGAUAACUACUGGAAACUGUAGCUAAUACCGCAUACCAUCGGAUGUGCCCAGGUGGGAUUAGCUAGUUGGUGGGGUAAUGGCCUACCAAGGCGACGAUCCCUAGCUGGUCUGAGAGGAUGACCAGCCACACGGGAACUGAGACACGGCCCAGACUCCUACGGGAGGCAGCAGUGGGGAAUAUUGCACAAUGGGCGCAAGCCUGAUGCAGCCAUGCCGCGUGUAUGAAGAAGGCCUUCGGGUUGUAAAGUACUUUCAGCGGGGAGGCGUUAACCGCAGAAGAAGCACCGGCUAACUCCGUGCCAGCCGCCGCGGUAAUAC